GUAAAUAAUUAAGGGCGUAUGGUGGAUGCCUAGGCUCUCAGAGGCGAAGAAGGACGUGAUAAGCUGCGAAAAGCUCCGUUUAGGUGCAAAUAACCUUUGAUGCGGAGAUCUCCGAAUGGGAUAACCCAAUAUGUUGAAGACAUAUUAUACCGUAAGGUAGGCAAACGCAGGGAACUGAAACAUCUAAGUACCUGCAGGAGAAGAAAACAAACGUGAUUCCCCCAGUAGCGGCGAGCGACCGGGGAAAAGCCCAAACCGUUAUUGUUUCGGCAUUAACGGGGUAGUAGGACUGCAAGCUUGAUGAAAUAAAUGAAAUGGAACACCUUGGAAAAUGUGAUCACAGAGGGUGAUAAUCCCGUACAUGCAAGUUUAUGAAUCAUAGCAGACUCCUGAGUAAGUCGGGACACGUGUAAUCCUGACCGAAUCCGCCGGGACCAUCCGGCAAGGCUAAAUACUCCUGAGAGACCGAUAGUGAACCAGUACCGUGAGGGAAAGGUGAAAAGCACUUCGAACAGAAGAGUGAAAUAGUCCCUGAACCCAUACGCCUACAAGCUGUCGGAGCCGCUUCGUGCGGUGACGGCGUGCCUUUUGCAUAAUGAGCCUACGAGUUACUCAUCACCAGCGAGGUUAAGUACUUCAGGUACGUAAGCCGAAGCGAAAGCGAGUCUGAAUAGGGCGUCAAGUUGGUGGUGGUAGACGCGAAACCUUAGUGAUCUACCCAUGGGCAGGGUGAAGGUUUGGUAACACAAACUGGAGGCCCGAACCGGUAAACGUUGAAAAGUUUUCGGAUGACCUGUGGGUAGGGGUGAAAGGCCAAUCAAACUGGGAAAUAGCUCGUACUCUCCGAAAUGCAUUUAGGUGCAGCCUCUGUUGUUUUGUUCUAGAGGUAGAGCUACUGAUUGGAUGCGAGGGCUUCACCGCCUAUCAAAUCCGGCCAAACUCCGAAUGCUAGAACAUGAAGACAGGGAGUGAGCCAGCGGGUGCUAAGGUCCGUUGACGAAAGAGGGAGAACUCAGACCAUCAGCUAAGGUCCCCAAUUGUAUGCUAAGUUGGAAUUAAAACGGGGUGGGACUGCUUAGACAGCUAGGAUGUUGGCUUGGAAGCAGCCAUUCAUUUAAAGAGUGCGUAACAGCUCACUAGUCGAGCGGUCCUGCAUGGAUAAUACGCGGGCAUAAGCAUAUAACCGAAGCUAUGGGAUUGUAGAUGAUACAAUCGGUAGGAGAGCAUUCCAUUCAGCAUAGAAGCAGUAUCGUGAGGUAUUGUGGAGCGGAUGGAAAAGCAAAUGUAGGCAUAAGUAACGAUAAUGCGGGUGAGAACCCCGCACGCCGAAAGAUCAAGGAUUCCCCGGCAAUGUCAAUCAUCCGGGGGUAAGUCGGAUCCUAAGGGUAAGCCGAGUGGCGAUCCCGAUGGCAAACAGGUUAAUAUUCCUGUACUGAUCAUAACUGCGAUGCAGCGACGCAGAGGUGACACUGCUGCGUACUGACGGAAUAGUACGUUGAAACCCGUAUUCUUUGAUACCGGUAGUGAAGCACGCCGGUAGAGAUGAAAGGUGAUAGUACCGCAAUGCUUCGGUUGCGCGGAUAACGCAGGUAAGCUGACUGCCAAGAAAACCUGCUAAGCUUCAGGUAAUGAUCAUCCGUACUGUAAACGGACACACGUAGAUCAGGAGAAAAUACUAAGGCGCUCGAGAGAUUCAUGGUUAAGGAACUAGGCAAAAUGGUCCUGUAACUUCGGGAUAAAGGACGCUCUUGUGAAAGAGCCGCAGAUAAUAGGCCCAGGCGACUGUUUACCAAAAACACAUGGCUAUGCUAAUUCGCAAGAAGAUGUAUAUGGCCUGACACCUGCCCGGUGCCGGAAGGUUAAGAGGAGAGCUCAGAGGCAACUCGAAGGUUUGAAUUGAAGCCCCGGUAAACGGCGGCCGUAACUAUAACGGUCCUAAGGUAGCGAAAUUCCUUGUCGGGUAAGUUCCGACCUGCACGAAUGGUGUAACGAUCUGGGUACUGUCUCAACCAUGAGCUCGGUGAAAUUGUAGUUCCGGUGAAGAUGCCGGAUACCCGCAACGGGACGGAAAGACCCCGUGAACCUUUACUGCAGCUUUGCAUUGAUUUUGGGUAACAGAUGUGUAGGAUAGGUCGGAGGCUUUGAUGCUGGUCGUCAGGCGUAGAGUAGCCGUCGUUGAAAUACGACCCUUUUGUUAUCUGAGGUCUAAUCCCGUUAGGGAGACAUUGCAUGGUGGGUAGUUUGACUGGGGUGGUCGCCUCCAAAAGUGUAACGGAGGCUUCUCAAGGUACCCUCAAGGCGUUUGGUAAUCGUCUGCAGAGUGCAAUGGCAUAAGGGUGCUUGACUGUGAGACCGACACGUCGAUCAGGUUGGAAACAAGAGCAUAGUGAUCCGGUGGUUCCGCAUGGAAGGGCCAUCGCUCAAAGGAUAAAAGGUACUCCGGGGAUAACAGGCUGAUCGCUCCCAAGAGCUCAUAUCGACGGAGCGGUUUGGCACCUCGAUGUCGGCUCGUCACAUCCUGGGGCUGGAGAAGGUCCCAAGGGUUCGGCUGUUCGCCGAUUAAAGUGGCACGCGAGCUGGGUUCAGAACGUCGUGAGACAGUUCGGUCCCUAUCUGUUGUGGGCGCAGGAUAUUUGAGGAGCUCUGACUCUAGUACGAGAGGACCGGGUUGGACAUACCUCUGGUGAAUCAGUUGUGUCGCCAGAUGCACUGCUGAGUAGCUAUGUAUGGAUUGGAUAAGCGCUGAAAGCAUCUAAGCGCGAAGCCAGCUUCAAGAUGAGAUUCCUCAGGGUCGUUCGAGAUGAGAACGUUGAUAGGUUGCAGGUGUAUAGUCGGUGACGGCACAGCCGAGCAAUACUAAUUACCCGAAUGUUUACUUUAA
rnacentral:rRNA from 1 species